GACGAACGCUGGCGGCGUGCUUAACACAUGCAAGUCGAACGGAAAGGCACUGCUUUUGUGGGGUUCUCGAGUGGCGAACGGGUGAGUAACACGUGAGUAACCGGACCUUGACUUUGGGAUAACUUCAGGAAACUGGGGCUAAUACCGGAUAGGAGCUCCUGCUGCAUGGUGGGGGUUGGAAAGUUUCGGCGGUUGGGGAUGGACUCGCGGCUUAUCAGCUUGUUGGUGGGGGAGUGGCUUACCAAGGCUUUGACGGGUAGCCGGCCUGAGAGGGUGACCGGCCACAUUGGGACUGAGAUACGGCCCAGACUCCUACGGGAGGCAGCAGUGGGGAAUCUUGCACAAUGGGCGGAAGCCUGAUGCAGCAACGCCGCGUGCGGGAUGACGGCCUUCGGGUUGUAAACCGCUUUCGCCUGUGACGACGCGUGAGUGACGGUAAUGGGUAAAGAAGCACCGGCUAACUACGUG
rnacentral:rRNA from 1 species